rnacentral:rRNA from 1 species
CACGUAGGGCGCAAGCGUUGUCCGGAAUUAUUGGGCGUAAAGAGCUCGUAGGCGGUCUGUUGCGUCCGCUGUGAAAACUCGGGGCUUAACCCCGAGCCUGCAGUGGAUACGGGCAGACUAGAGGUAGGUAGGGGAGAAUGGAAUUCCCGGUGUAGCGGUGAAAUGCGCAGAUAUCGGGAGGAACACCGGUGGCGAAGGCGGUUCUCUGGGCCUUACCUGACGCUGAGGAGCGAAAGCCAGGGGAGCGAACAGG